UACGGGGGGGGCAAGCGUUGUUCGGAAUUACUGGGCGUAAAGGGCGCGUAGGCGGCCUGCUAAGUCGGACGUGAAAUCCCUCGGCUCAACCGGGGAACUGCGUCCGAUACUGGCGAGCUUGAAUCCGGGAGAGGGAUGUGGAAUUCCAGGUGUAGCGGUGAAAUACGUAGAUAUCUGGAGGAACACCGGUGGCGAAGGCGGCAUCCUGGACCGAUACUGACGCUGAGGAGCGAAAGCCAGGGGAGCAAACGGG
rnacentral:rRNA from 1 species